rnacentral:lncRNA from 1 species
CUUCAAACUGAUCAGAAGGUAGCACAUAGAGAACGUCGCAGUCGCAAAGACGUGAACUGGAUAACUACAAAUGAAAGAAACAAUAAAAUGUAGAAAUAAAGCGUUGACUCAUAUAUUAUUCGUUUGAUUAACACCGCAGCCGCUGGUCGCCUCACGAUGCAAGUUUACAAUGACCUACAUUUUAUUGAAUGAAAUAAAAGCUAGACUACAGCUUGUUACGUGUUUGUAAGUAGACGAUGCAAGAUGGAAGCGGGCUAACUUG